rnacentral:lncRNA from 1 species
UGCAUCUUGUGUAGCGAGGAUGAAGGCCUUGAUCAGCUUGUUUGGGUCAUCGCUCUUGACUGGCUCGAGUGUUUUGACACACGAGGCUUUGUCAGAAGUAGCCUGGCAAAUUCCUUGAACGGCUUUCAUCUGUGGAGACAGAGGAGUGUCGUUGUUUCUGUUAACGAUGGCAACGACUCCUAUGGCUACUCCGACCAAUAAAAGGACGGAGGCCACAGAAACAACAACUUUUCCUAUCAUUUUUUUAUAUUUUAUUAUAUUGUUUUGUGUAUUUUUGAAUUUUUUUUGCUCCCUCCGGUUUUAUUUAGAGGUUAAUCGGAGAGGGAGGGGCUUUAUUAGAGAAAAGCCAAGUUGUUUAAUGACUCGGGCCAGUGAAUAUUGUGAUGGAUUAUGGAGGAUUUAUAGUAGCUUUUAGUAUCUAAAAAAAAGCUACGUGCAUGGAAUUUGCAUGGAGAGAGAGAUUUACGGUCGACGAAUGGCUGAGAAUAUCUGGUAAAAAAAGGUCUAAUUAACUAAUGACACUAUGAAAUUGCUUUAUUGUGAGGUUUAAAAUUGGUCAACGCAAGAUAAAUAUGGAGUACGAUCCUGGUUGGAGGGUGUGGUAGGCCUGGUGGCGUGAUUGACUACAAAUAGAAAUGACAUAUAUAGAUAUAAGUAACAAGUGAGUUAGUUAACAAUAUAAUUAAGUGAUUUAGGCAAAUGUAAAAUGUUGUGAUGAGUUCAAAAUCUGGAAAUCAACCAGACUCAACUAGGAUAAUUCCAACAAAAUUGUGUUUAUUUUUUUUUUAAUAUGAAAUUUCUUGGGGAAAAAAUAGAUUAACUCGAAUCAAACCAAUACAAUGAGAUUUUGAAAAAAAAAAUAUGCUGCCAUAAAAAUGUCUAUAUAAAAUUAGCUAUGUAAAACCCGAAAUAAUCUUCAAAUUAGUCUAAGAAAACUUAUGAUUACAUCACCAAAUUACAUGAGAAGAUAAAUUUAUAAACAUUGAUUGACAUAUAUGGUAAAAAAUCAUAUGAGAUCUGAUUCUCAAAACCAACAUGUUGCUAUAUUGAUAAAGGUUUUGCAAUCAGAGUUCUUUUUGGUAGAAUGUUUUCCUUUUGUCAACUGGUAGAAUGUCUAUAUCUCAAGUUUUUAUCAUCAUUAUGAUUGUUUCUAAAAGCUUAUGAUGGUGUACUAUAUAUUAGUCGUAGUUUUUUAGCUUGAGUUUAUUGGUAAAGUCAUUAUAGUGAUAGUUACACAUUUAAGCAACUAAUGUUAUGUAUAUAAACAAAACUGCUUUACGGUUUGGCUAAUCAAUUACUGAAGUGUAUUUUUUGGGCAUUUCUCUCACUCGAGCUUAAUGUAAUAUUACACUAUCUGAUCAACAAAUGAUGAAAAAUUAAAGUAUUUCGCUACUAGUUUUCUUUAUACUUCUGUAAAAGAUUGAAAACUUUGGUAUAAUAAUUUAACAUUUUAUCAAAAAAAUGAUGAAAAAUUAAAUUGUUUUUAGUUUGUGUGUAAAAUACAUACAACUACACAAUUGCAUAGGAAAAACAUUGAUAGAAAAUGUAUCACUGAUUAGAAGAAUAAGAGAGAGGGUAUCACCAACACAACACCAAAACAUGAUUGUAGCAUCAAAAAUAAACUUAGCAAUAGAAUGGUACGUAUUCAGCUUAUGCUAAGUAGUAUUUUUAGUAGAAUUUCGAUUUUGACCUAUAGUGAUUAAUUAGUGACUCGUACCUUGUCUUCUACGUUUAUGUAGCCAUUAAAAAUUUAGGUCAAAAUGUAAAAUUAACGAAAAGGAAAAUGAAGGAAAAAGAAAAUUUAAAAUGUAGACAUAUAAAAGAUAGUAUACCAAAUACAUUAUUAAUAUUAGAUUAUCACAUUUUCCAUAUCCUUUCCAACCACGAGGUCCAUACAUGAUUAUCACCCAUAACAUAUUAAUCACAAACAUACAUCAAAAGGAACCUUUCUUUACAAGAUUCCUAACAUGACUUACAAAAACCCAAACGAUGCAGAUUAUUUAUCACCAUCGACGACGCCAUACAUUUUUAUUUG